rnacentral:lncRNA from 1 species
GAAAGCAAAUAAAGGAUGUGCUUUUCUAUCUUCUAGAGGAACUAAAGAAAUUAUCUCUUAACCGACUCAUUGUGACAUAUCCAACGCGAUAUUAAUAACGUAAUCUCCUUGUGAUUCUAAACAGAACUCGAUAGAACUCUUUAAUCCAUCUGGUAAUGAGUUAAGACCCAAGGCAAAAGUUUUUAAGUUCCUAGAUAGAGAAACUCUUUAUAUUAUAUACAGAUUAAGAUUCUUCUAAUUCGCAUCCGAUACGAGACAUAUACUCGGACAGCUAAA